CCUGAGAAAACUAAUCACCUAGUUUCUUGACUGUGGCUGUGAGUCCAGUCCCCUAGCAAACAUCAAACAGGAACUACACGAAUUAGCAACUGCUGUUCAAUCCAGAAGAAACCACAAGGCUCACCACCCAGCCUGGAUCCUCAGAAGCAGCAAGAAACCGCAGGAGCCUCAGGAGAGGUUCUUUGGCCAGUUUCUCUCUAUGAUCUCACCACAAUCGAAGCUCUGAAUAUCACACAGGCUAGAGCUUAAGUAGCAAACAUUUGCUUUCUCUCUGUUCUGGAGACUGUAAUCCAGGGACAAGGGACUGGCAUGGCUAUGGCCAGGUGAGGACCCACUUUCUGAGGGGCAGAUGGUGGAUUCUGGUUGUUCCUUUGUGUGAUGGGCUGGGAGACAGAGGAAGACAGACACCAAGGAAGCGCCCUCUGUUUACAGUAACUGAUGAAGCUUGGAUGGUGAUGCUGAAGGAAGGAAGACAUGGCAGACAGGACUAGAAAACGGUGUGGGAUUAAAGCAACAGAACCAAGGAGGAUCAGGAGACAGAGGAUGCCGUGCGCAACAAGUCAUGACUAAUGUCAAGAAGGUUAAUGGAAUCAUUGGAGCUCUGGGUUUUAAUGACAGGUUCCCUGAGCCCACAACACAGCAUGC
rnacentral:lncRNA from 1 species